CACGUAGGGCGCAAGCGUGGUCCGGAAUUAUUGGGCGUAAAGAGCUCGUAGGUGGUUUGUUACGUCUGCUGUGAAAACCUAGGGCUUAACCCUGGGCUUGCAGUGGAUACGGGCAGACUGGAGUACUGCAGGGGAGACUGGAAUUCCUGGUGUAGCGGUGGAAUGCGCAGAUAUCAGGAGGAACACCGGUGGCGAAGGCGGGUCUCUGGGCAGUAACUGACGCUGAGGAGCGAAAGCGUGGGGAGCGAACAGG
rnacentral:rRNA from 1 species